UACGGAGGAUGCAAGCGUUAUCCGGAAUGAUUGGGCGUAAAGCGUCCGCAGGUGGCUAUGUAAGUCUGCUGUCAAAGAGCAAAGCUCAACUUUGUAAAGGCAGUGGAAACUACACGGCUAGAGUGCGUUCGGGGCAGAGGGAAUUCCUGGUGUAGCGGUGAAAUGCGUAGAGAUCAGGAAGAACACCGGUGGCGAAAGCGCUCUGCUAGGCCGCAACUGACACUGAGGGACGAAAGCUAGGGGAGCGAAAGGG
rnacentral:rRNA from 1 species